GUCCACGCCCUAACGAUGCCGACUAGCUGUUUCGAGUAUCGACCCUCGGAGUGGCGCAGCUAACGCGUUAAGUCGGCCGCCUGGGAAGUACGAUCGCAAGAUUAAACUCAAAGGAAUAGACGGGGACUCGCACAAGCGGUGGAGCAUGAGGUUCAAUUCGACAAUAACGAACCUUACCCGGACUUGAAAUGCACUUGAAUACUCGUGGAAACAUGGGUAGCCCCUUAAAAGGCAAGUGCACAGGUGCUGCAUGGUUGUCGU
rnacentral:rRNA from 1 species